rnacentral:rRNA from 1 species
CGGGUGAGUAAUGUCUGGGAAACUGCCCGAUGGAGGGGGAUAACUACUGGAAACGGUAGCUAAUACCGCAUAACGUCGCAAGACCAAAGAGGGGGACCUUCGGGCCUCUUGCCAUCGGAUGUGCCCAGAUGGGAUCAGCUAGUAGGUGGGGUAAUGGCUCACCUAGGCGACGAUCCCUAGCUGGUCUGAGAGGAUGACCAGCCACACUGGAACUGAGACACGGUCCAG